UGGGGAAUAUUGCACAAUGGGCGCAAGCCUGAUGCAGCCAUGCCGCGUGUAUGAAGAAGGCCUUCGGGUUGUAAAGUACUUUCAGCGGGGAGGAAGGGAGUAAAGUUAAUACCUUUGCUCAUUGACGUUACCCGCAGAAGAAGCACCGGCUAACUCCGUGCCAGCAGCCGCGGUAAUACGGAGGGUGCAAGCGUUAAUCGGAAUUACUGGGCGUAAAGCGCACGCAGGCGGUUUGUUAAGUCAGAUGUGAAAUCCCCGGGCUCAACCUGGGAACUGCAUCUGAUACUGGCAAGCUUGAGUCUCGUAGAGGGAGGUAGAAUUCCAGGUGUAGCGGUGAAAUGCGUGGGGAUCUGGAGGAAUACCGGUGGCGAAGGCGGCCCCCUGGACGAAGACUGACGCUCAGGUGCGAAAGCGUGGGGAGCAAACAGG
rnacentral:rRNA from 1 species